rnacentral:rRNA from 1 species
GACGUAGGGCGCGAGCGUUGUCCGGAUUUAUUGGGCGUAAAGAGCGUGUAGGCGGCCAGGUAGGUCUGCUGUGAAAACUCGAGGCUCAACCUCGAGACGUCGGCGGAAACCAUCUGGCUAGAGUCCGGAAGAGGAGAGUGGAAUUCCUGGUGUAGCGGUGGAAUGCGCAGAUAUCAGGAGGAACACCAAUAGCGAAGGCAGCUCGCUGGGACGGUACUGACGCUAAGGCGCGAAAGCGUGGGGAGCGAACAGG